rnacentral:rRNA from 1 species
GACGAACGCUGGCGGCGUGCUUAACACAUGCAAGUCGAACGAUGAAGCUAGAGCUUGCUCUGGCGAAUUAGUGGCGAACGGGUGAGUAACACGUGAGUAACCUGCCCCGAACUCUGGGAUAACUGCUGGAAACGGUAGCUAAUACUGGAUACGACCUACGAAGGCAUCUUCUGUAGGUGGAAAGAAUUUCGGUUCGGGAUGGACUCGCGGCCUAUCAGCUUGUUGGUGAGGUAAUGGCUCACCAAGGCGACGACGGGUAGCCGGCCUGAGAGGGUGACCGGCCACACUGGGAGUGGAACACGGCCCAGACUCCUACGGGAGGCAGCAGUGGGGAAUAUUGCACAAUGGGCGAAAGCCUGAUGCAGCAACGCCGCGUGAGGGAUGACGGCCUUCGGGUUGUAAACCUCUUUUAGUAGGGAAGAAGCGAAAGUGACGGUACCUGCAGAAAAAGCACCGGCUAACUACGUGCCAGCCGCCGCAGUAA